UACGUAGGGGGCAAGCGUUGUCCGGAAUUAUUGGGCGUAAAGCGCGCGCAGGCGGUGGAUUAAGUUUGGUGUAUAAUCCCGGGGCUCAACCCCGGAUCGCACUGAAAACUGGUUGACUUGAGUGCGGGAGAGGAAAGUGGAAUUCCACGUGUAGCGGUGAAAUGCGUAGAGAUGUGGAGGAACACCAGUGGCGAAGGCGACUCUUUGGCCUGUAACUGACGCUGAGGCGCGAAAGCGUGGGGAGCAAACAGG
rnacentral:rRNA from 1 species